AGUGAACGCUGGCGGUAGGCCUAACACAUGCAAGUCGAACGGCAGCACAGUAAGAGCUUGCUCUUACGGGUGGCGAGUGGCGGACGGGUGAGGAAUACAUCGGAAUCUACUUUUUCGUGGGGGAUAACGUAGGGAAACUUACGCUAAUACCGCAUACGCCCUACGGGUGAAAGCAGGGGAUCUUCGGACCUUGCGCGAUUGAAUGAGCCGAUGUCGGAUUAGCUAGUUGGCGGGGUAAAGGCCCACCAAGGCGACGAUCCGUAGCUGGUCUGAGAGGAUGAUCAGCCACACUGGAACUGAGACACGGUCCAGACUCCUACGGGAGGCAGCAGUGGGGAAUAUUGGACAAAGGGCGCAAGCCUGAUCCAGCCAUACCGCGUGGGUGAAGAAGGCCUUCGGGUUGUAAAGCCCUUUUGUUGGGAAAGAAAAGCAGCAGGUUAAUACCCCGCUGUUCUGACGGUACCCAAAGAAUAAGCACCGGCUAACUUCGUG
rnacentral:rRNA from 1 species